GUCGGUAUCGGAACUGUAGCUUUUUUCUGGAGAUCAGUGUGUGGCUCUUAAAAGAGCCUUUUUGAGUAGGUGCUGAGUAAAGAGCAGCAGGAAUUUACUUCUUCUUGGCCGCCGCCUUCUUCGGCUUGCUGGUCUUGGGUUUGGCAGUUUUAGGUUUGGCAGCUUUGGGUUUGGCGGCCUUCGCCUUUUUGGGGCUCUUGGUCGCUUUCUUGGCUGCGGCGGGCUUCUUGGCGGCUUUCUUGGGGCUCUUGGUCGCCGCCUUCUUGGCGGCCGCCGCGGGCUUCUUGACUUUCUUGGGCGACUUCUUGGCGGCGGGCUUCUUCGCCGCGACCUUCUUGGGCGACUUCUUGGCCGCGGCGGGCUUCUUGGCGGCCGCCUUCUUGGCCUUCGGAGCCGCCUUCUUGGCGGCGGGCUUCUUCUUGGGCUCCGCCUGGUUCUUGUUCAGCUUGAAGGAGCCCGAGGCGCCGGUGCCCUUGGUCUGCACCAGAGUCCCCUUGGUGACCAGGUUCUUGACGGCCACCUUGACGCGGGAGUUGUUCUUCUCCACGUCGUAGCCGCCGGCAGACAGCGCCUUCUUCAGGGCGGCCAGGGACACUCCGCUGCGCUCCUUGGAAGCGGACACGGCUUUGACGAUCAGCUCGCUGACGCCGGGUCCCGCCUUCUUGGGCUUCUUGGCCGCGGCCUUCUUCUUGGGCGACUUCGGCGGCGCUGCGGCCGCUGGAGCUGGAGCCUCUUCUGCCAUGUCGAGCGGUUCGGUGACGCGAGUGACAAUGACGCAGGGCGCGCGGAGCGGCGCUUUUCAACGCGCCGUGAGAACCGUGUAGAACCGCGCCGCCCUGCUGCCGCCCCGCAGCCUCCGCUGUGUUUUCUCCGCCACGCAUCUCGGGCAAAAACCGCGCCGCCGACCGAGCCCCGGGUCGCGGGACGUUCUGUGCGGGAAGCCGGGACCUCCAUGAUCCGGCUGGACCGCGCGGUGCGCGGCGGAGAGCGGAUUUGAUCCCGCAGGAAGGCCGACACGACGCUUGGUAGCGCCCAGAGGAGCGGAGGAACGGGCGUCGCGGCUUCGUUUUCGCCUUUAAAUGUGUUUAAACGGAGAAACCGGCCGCGGUCUGUGGACGGGUUGCGGUCACUGGUCCUCGGUUACCGACCGCGCGUCCGGCGAGUUGAAGGAGAGCGCGGGGACCGAGGAAGAGGAGCUGCGGUGAAGCACAGAGGAAGAUCCCAGAUCCCGAAAAGGCGCC
ensembl:lncRNA